UUUAGACCAGAUUAGAAAGUAUUUAUACAGCUUGUGUUCCUAACAGCCUCUGAAUCACACACAGGUUUACUCAAUCUCACACAGACGCACUGAUGAUCCAUAACCAUAAAGCCUAAUCCCUGCAUAGAGGGGCUGAGUGAAGGUGGUGUAGAGUGUGUGUAAGUGUGUGAGAGUGUGUGAGGGUGUAUCAGUGGAGACUCUGUAGAAGGACAGAGUGCCGGCGGGACAGUCCACAUACACUCCUACUCUCCUACAGCCGGAGGGAGGAGGGGGGAGAACAGUUCUGUUAUUAUUGUGAACAACAGAGUAACUGUUAUCA